CCGUAGCUCAGCUGGAUAGAGCAGGAGCCUUCUAAGCUCAAGGUCGCAGGUUCGAAUCCUGCCGGG
rnacentral:tRNA from 1 species